UGGGGAAUAUUGGACAAUGGGCGAAAGCCUGAUCCAGCCAUGCCGCGUGUGUGAAGAAGGUCUUCGGAUUGUAAAGCACUUUAAGUUGGGAGGAAGGGCAGUAAGCGAAUACCUUGCUGUUUUGACGUUACCGACAGUAUAAGCACCGGCUAACUCUGUGCCAGCAGCCGCGGUAAUACAGAGGGUGCAAGCGUUAAUCGUAAUUACUGGGCGUAAAGCGCGCGUAGGUGGUUCGUUAAGUUGAAUGUGAAAGCCCCGGGCUCAACCUGGGAACUGCAUGUAACACUGGCGGGCGAGAGUAGGGCAGAGGGUGGUGGAAUUUCCUGUGUGGCGGUGAAAUGCGUAGAUAUAGGAAGGAACACAAGUGGCGAAGGCGACCACCUGGGCUCAUAAUGACACUGAGGUGCGAAAGCGUGGGGAGCAAACAGG
rnacentral:rRNA from 1 species